CCCGGGAUGGCGGCGUCAAGUGGGGCAGUCGCUGGUGGAGGUGGUGGAGAGGCUGGUGGCAGGGGCGAGCCCGGCGGAGCCGCCGUCCCGGCCGCUGGAGCCCCGCGUCUGGGCGUGAUUGUCAUCCCGAAAGGCGGAGCUCAGUGGAGUCGUGCUGACCUCUACCCCAGGCACACUGAUGCUGGGCUGACAACAAGAGGGUUGAGCCUGAAAUCAGAUGCCGACCUUGUGGAACAGAGAUGGCACACCAGGCCCAACUGUUUGCAUGUCAGAAUGUUUCUGGGCUUACGGCAUCUGUAUCCAAAAAC
ensembl:lncRNA